UCGUGCAAAUUUAGGAUUGAAUGCAAACAAAAUUAUGAACCAGGCCUCACUAUAAAUAGUAGGGCUAGUGGGCAUUGGCCCAUCAAGCCAAAAGCUGUGAGCAUACAUCAGGUGUCCCUUAGAGUUCCCCUGAACACUUCAUUAGAGACUUUAUUUGUCAAAGGAAGAAGUUUAACUCCCUACUGAAGUGUUUGGGGGAACUCCUGGGUUCAAUUGAUACUUACUAUUAUUAAGAGUGACAAUUUGGUGGUGGCAAUGAUCUUAGUCUCUUGACUAUCCAGGGUUUCUGAUAUUAUUGUGGAGGGUGCUUGGUGCUGGCCUGAGUCAUGCCCCUCUUAGGUUCUUUAACUCUUUCUCUCCUCGAUGUCGGGCCUUCCCCAAAUCGCCCUCGAUGGCUCCUAGCAUUUGAUGGUGCUUUUUCUGUGAGAUCUACGUUGUGGGCCUUAUAGGCUCGGCACAAUAAGGUCCCCUGAUUUCAUCUUAUUUGGCAUGGGUCUAGAUUCCCCUCCUAUGCGUUUAUCCUAUGGCUUGCUAUUAGGAAAUGUUUGUCCACUCUGGACCGGCUCAAUCUCUAUUUGUCAUUCCCUAACCAAUGUUAUCUUUGCCAGGUUGCUCUAGAUAGAGUGCUACAACUAUUUGUUUUUUGCUUGUCCAUUUUCUUGGCAGAUCAUCUCAUAAUUUAGACGUCAGGUGAAGUUUGCUUGGUUCUGGGGAUGCUAGUCUAGUAGGAUUUUCUAGACUGUGCAUAGAUGGCGUGAAAAAUCUCCGUGGGCGGUGGCAGCUUGGAUUACUCUUCAAGUGGCUAUUUAUUUCAUCUGGCGUGAGCGUAAUAAUCGCUGCUUUAAUAAUAGUAUGCGCUCUCUUUCUUAGCUUGCCUAUCAGAUCCAAACCUCUGUUUGGACUCGCUUGGCUUCGUUGUGCUUCUCUUGUACAUUGCAAGGUAUGGUCUUUGUCCAUUUCUAGUGUUUAUUGCCUUCUUGUUUAAGCUAGUCCUUUUUUUUAUUCUUUUUUUUCUGUCAUGUUGUAUCUCCAGAUGCUACUGAUCUUCUUGUUUGUGACGAUGGGGUUUCUGCAGGUUUGCUGGUUGAGGUCUCCCUUUGAUCUUUUCCCUACCCUAGUGAUCAUCCUCAGUUGUUGCUUGCUUAUGUUUCAGCGUUCAUGCUCUCUUGCACCAUGUUACUUUGGACUGGUUGUUGCUACUCUCCUCUUAUCUAG